rnacentral:lncRNA from 1 species
UGUCAAGAGAUAUAUGGCUGAUAAAUUAGAGGAUAGAUCUAUAAUAGCUUAUUUUAUAGGUCUCGAAAAGAAUUAAUAUGAUACUACUACUUUCUAUAAGAUCACAAUGUGAUUGUGAGUCAGAACGUCAUAUUCCUAGAAAAAUAGUUUAUCCAGGAUGGUGGCAGUGAGAGGUUAGUUAAGCUUGAAGAGGUCUCUGAAUAACAAAGAACUAUGGAUCCUCAGGAACCCAUUAUUUAUAAGCCAGUAGUUGAUGUUCCUCCACCACCUCGUAGAUCUAACAGAGUCUUC